ACGAACGCUGGCGGCGUGCUUAACACAUGCAAGUCGAACGGAAAGGCCCUGCUUUUGUGGGGUGCUCGAGUGGCGAACGGGUGAGUAACACGUGAGUAACCUGCCCUUGACUUUGGGAUAACUUCAGGAAACUGGGGCUAAUACCGGAUAGGAGCUCCUGCUGCAUGGUGGGGGUUGGAAAGUUUCGGCGGUUGGGGAUGGACUCGCGGCUUAUCAGCUUGUUGGUGGGGUAGUGGCUUACCCAGGCUUUGACGGGUAGCCGGCCUGAGAGGGUGACCGGCCACAUUGGGACUGAGAUACGGCCCAGACUCCUACGGGAGGCAGCAGUGGGGAAUAUUGCACAAUGGGCGGAAGCCUGAUGCAGCAACGCCGCGUGCGGGAUGACGGCCUUCGGGUUGUAAACCGCUUUCGCCUGUGACGAAGCGUGAGUGACGGUAAUGGGUAAAGAAGCACCGGCUAACUACGUG
rnacentral:rRNA from 1 species